AUAGGUUAAUGAGGCGAACCGGGGGAACUGAAACAUCUAAGUACCCCGAGGAAAAGAAAUCAACCGAGAUUCCCCCAGUAGCGGCGAGCGAACGGGGAGCAGCCCAGAGCCUGAAUCAGUGUGUGUGUUAGUGGAAGCGUCUGGAAAGGCGCGCGAUACAGGGUGACAGCCCCGUACACAAAAAUGCACAUACUGUGAGCUCGAUGAGUAGGGCGGGACACGUGGUAUCCUGUCUGAAUAUGGGGGGACCAUCCUCCAAGGCUAAAUACUCCUGACUGACCGAUAGUGAACCAGUACCGUGAGGGAAAGGCGAAAAGAACCCCGGCGAGGGGAGUGAAAAAGAACCUGAAACCGUGUACGUACAAGCAGUGGGAGCACGCUUCGGCGUGUGACUGCGUACCUUUUGUAUAAUGGGUCAGCGACUUAUAUUCUGUAGCAAGGUUAACCGAAUAGGGGAGCCGAAGGGAAACCGAGUCUUAACUGGGCGUUAAGUUGCAGGGUAUAGACCCGAAACCCGGUGAUCUAGCCAUGGGCAGGUUGAAGGUUGGGUAACACUAACUGGAGGACCGAACCGACUAAUGUUGAAAAAUUAGCGGAUGACUUGUGGCUGGGGGUGAAAGGCCAAUCAAACCGGGAGAUAGCUGGUUCUCCCCGAAAGCU
rnacentral:rRNA from 1 species